rnacentral:rRNA from 1 species
UAGUGAGUUUGAUCCUGGCUCAGAACGAACGCUGGCGGCAGGCCUAACACAUGCAAGUCGAACGGGUCCUUCGGGACUAGUGGCGGACGGAUGAGUAACGCGUGGGAACGUGCCCUUUGGUUCGGAAUAGCCUCGGGAAACUGGGAGUAAUACCGGAUGAGCCCUUCGGGGGAAAGAUUUAUCGCCCUUAGACGGGCCCGCGUCGGAUUAGCUAGUUGGUGGGGUAACGGCCUACCAAGGCGACGAUCCGUAGCUGAUCUUAGAGGAUGAUCAGCCACACUGGGACUGAGACACGGCCCAGACUCCUACGGGAGGCAGCAGUGGGGAAUAUUGCACAAUGGGCGCAAGCCUGAGGGAGCGACGCC